GAUGAAGAACGCAGCGAAAUGCGAUAAGUAAUGUGAAUUGCAGAAUUCAGUGAAUCAUCGAAUCUUUGAACGCACAUUGCGCCCGCCAGUAUUCUGGCGGGCAUGCCUGUUCGAGCGUCAUUUCAACCCUCAAGCCCAGCUUGGUGUUGGGGAUCGGCACAGGCGCCCUCGGGCGCCCGCCGUCCCCUAAAUCUAGUGGCGGUCCCGCUGCAGCCUCCUCUGCGUAGUAGUUUUCUCCUCGCAAGGGCAGCUCGGUGGCGACCUCGCCGGAAAACCCCCAACUUCUGAAAGGUUGACCUCGAAUCAGGUAGGAAUACCCGCUGAACUUAAGCAUAUCAAUAAGCGGAGGA
rnacentral:misc_RNA from 1 species